UCCAAGUUCCUUGGAACAGGACGUCACAGAGGGUGAGAAUCCCGUACGUGGUCGCUAGCCUCUACCGUGUAAAGCCCCUUCGACGAGUCGAGUUGUUUGGGAAUGCAGCUCUAAAUGGGAGGUAAAUUUCUUCUAAAGCUAAAUACUGGCCAGAGACCGAUAGCGCACAAGUAGAGUGAUCGAAAGAUGAAAAGCACUUUGGAAAGAGAGUUAAAAAGCACGUGAAAUUGUUGAAAGGGAAGCGCUUGCAGCCAGACUUGCCUGUAGUUGCUCAUCCGGGUUUCUACCCGGUGCACUCUUCUAUAGGCAGGCCAGCAUCAGUUUGGGCGGUUGGAUAAAGGUCUCUGUCAUGUACCUCCUCUCGGGGAGAACUUAUAGGGGAGACGACAUGCAACCAGCCCGGACUGAGGUCCGCGCAUCUGCUAGGAUGCUGGCGUAAUGGCUGUAAGCGGCCCGUCUUGAAACACGGACCAAGGAGUCUAACAUCUAUGCGAGUGUUUGGGUGUCAAGCCCGAACGCGUAAUGAAAGUGAACGGAGGUGGGAACCUUUCGGGGUGCACCAUCGACCGAUCCUGAUGUCUUCGGAUGGAUUUGAGUAAGAGCAUAGCUGUUGGGACCCGAAAGAUGGUGAACUAUGCUUGAAUAGGGUGAAGCCAGAGGAAACUCUGGUGGAGGCUCGCAGCGGUUCUGACGUGCAAAUCGAUCGUCAAAUUUGGGCAUAGGGGCGAAAGACUAAUCGAACUAUCUAGUAGCUGGUUCCUGCCGAAGUUUCCCUCAGGAUAGCAGUAACGUUUUCAGUUUUAUGAGGUAAAGCGAAUGAUUAGAGGCCUGGGGGUUGAAACAACCUUCACCUAUUCUCAAACUUUAAAUAUGUAAGAAGUCCUUGUUACUUGAUUGAACGUGGACAGUUGAAUGUAUCGUUACUAGUGGGCCAUUUUUGGUAAGCAGAACUGGCGAUGCGGGAUGAACCGAACGCGGGGUUAAGGUGCCAGAAUGCACGCUCAUCAGACACCACAAAAGGUGUUAGUUCAUCUAGACAGCAGGACGGUGGCCAUGGAAGUCGGAAUCCGCUAAGGAGUGU
rnacentral:rRNA from 1 species